CCGAGGCCUGCGGCACAGCCACGCUCACUCUCUCCACUCUUUCUCUCCCCGGUGGCCACCAGUAGACUCCUGCUUGGCCUGUGCUUGUGAACUCAGGCCCGUGAGAAUGAGGACUCACUCUCUGCUUAGUAUAUGGACGAUCUGAAGGGCAGACUUCUAGCAACCUGUUUAGCACCUUGGCCUGGUCCUCCUCUCGGCCUGGCAUCCCUGAGCAUGGGACUUCAGCAGAGAACAAAUGUCUAGUCUUCUAAGAAGAGAGAGAAGAGGACCGGAAGGGUGGAAAUAUAAAUGCCUGGCUGCACAGAGGUGGAUGAGGGAACCCAGAGAUCUACCUUCUAUAGACCUUCAACCAAACUGUGUUUUAGCCUCAUGCUUCAUCUUCACUCUCUGCGGUAAGAACUUCCCAGCAUCCCUUGCAGCCAAAGAGCAGGCAUGUGCCCUAAGAUCCACCAAUCAAACACCCACAUGAAACUCUGACCUGGAAGUCAGCAACAUGAGGAAACAGAUUGGAUUCUGAGCACUGUGCCUUCAUUUUGCAGGUGAAGGUGGUGGUGGCAGGAAUAUCCCUUCAGUAUGAGGUUCUGAGCUGCAUUCCUAGGGGUUUAGCCUUGAGCUUCUUCUUCAGAUCUC